CAGCGCCACAAGUGGGGACCGGUAUUAUUGGGCCUAAAGCGUUCGUAGCCGGUUAAAUAAAUCUUCUGUGAAAUUGUUGGGCUUAACCCAACGGCGUGCAGAAGACACUAUUUGACUUGAGACCGGGAGGAGUUAGAGGUAUUCAAGGGGUAGCGGUAAAAUGCAAUAAUCCCUUGAGGACCACCAGUGGCGAAGGCGUCUAACUAGAACGGGUCUGACGGUGAGGAACGAAAGCCAGGGGAGCGAACCGGAUUAGAUACCCGAGUAGUCC
rnacentral:rRNA from 1 species